UACGGGGGGAGCAAGCGUUGUUCGGAUUUACUGGGCGUAAAGGGCGGGUAGGCGGCCACCGCAAGUCAGUUGUGAAAUCUCUGGGCUUAACCCAGAAAGGUCAACUGAUACUGCGGGGCUAGAGUGCAGAAGGGGCAACUGGAAUUCUCGGUGUAGCGGUGAAAUGCGUAGAUAUCAGGAAGAACACCCGUGGCUAAGGCGGCUCUCUAGUACGGUACUGACGCUGAGACGCGAAAGCGUGGGGAGCGAACAGG
rnacentral:rRNA from 1 species